UAAGUGUCGUCUUUCCACUAAGCA
rnacentral:siRNA from 1 species